AAGAAGAAGAAGAGGAAGAAAAAGCAAAGAGAGAGAGAAAGAGAGAGGGAGAGAGACAUCUCGAGGAAUUCGACGAUUGUUCAGAGGCGUUUAAAAUUCUUCGGGGUUGUUGGGGUCGAGAAACGGGAGACGCAACGACUGGCUUUGGCCUGUUUUUACGUGGGACGAGAAUUUCGAAAGCGUCGGCGAACAAGCGUAAAGAGGAUCGCGGCGCAAUAAAAAUGACGAUUUACGCUCGACGUCAUCGUUAUAAAACCGGGGGCCAAUGACUCCAAUGGAUGAACCACCCAUCCCUUCUGUCUUCCCUUGAUCUACGCGCCCCAAUUCUCUUUGGAUCCCGAAUCAUGGAACUCUAUUAACUCUUUAUUACAGGCUUUGUCUCGAUAUCGAAAUAAAUUGUGCGUUCAUUGGUUCAUUUUGUACGAUUCUGAAAAACGCUUCUUCAACGUUGGGAAAAGUUUUGUGUAGUUUUUUCCUUUUUUUUUUAGAUUUCUUCGUCUCCCUGAGAUGCUAAUUUUAGUUUGGACAGUGUUUGUUACGUUUCAAUUUUAGGACACGGUACGAAUCAAUUGUGUAACUGUUCUUCUAUAUUUUUAGUAUCAAAACGAUUGCAAAAAUGAGGGUGUAAAUACGUAAUAGACUCAUCUCGAGUUAUUAAGGAAUAAUCACAGGAAUGAAAAUUUCGAAACAAGUAGUUAGACGAAGUUUUCUUCUUCGAUAAUAUCUCAUUAUUUAUCAUCGUUUAUAGUCUAUAAUAAAUAGACUUGGAUAUCCUAUUAUGCUCGUGUAUAGUCUUUAACCUCCGCUCCAAUCCUAGAGUAAACUAUCAAUUUACUUUUCAAAGAAUAUGGAAGGAAUAUUAUUGUCUAUAUUUACCUAUUGCAACAACUUUAAUCCAACUUUUCGAUUAUCGUUUACUUCGUUUUAACGACAAAUUACCCUUGAAUAGUUCACUUUAUCUCCUAGAUAAAAAAAAAACAAGAUUUUUCUAAAAAUCUAAUUUUAUUUAACGUUCCAGACAUGCCCAAAAUAUUUAUUAAACAAUUUUAUCGGAUGUUUUUAUACACUAAAUGAAACAAUUCUUCAUUAAGAAUCCAAAAUGUCCAAUUACAAAUAUCAAUUCAAAUUUUUCGUGAAGUUCGAUCGUUAAAAUAUUAUUCGAAUAUUUCAAAUUCCCCGCGAAAAAUAAUCUCCAAGAAAAGUGAGCAACAAAAAGAGGAGGAAAAUCAAUCAACCUAACAAGUCCCUUGAAAAAAAGCGCGCCCGGUGGCUAAUCUUCUCGCGCCCCAUAAUUAAUUACGCGUUAUCCGGAACAGGCCCCGAUUAUCCCUUAACGGGACAACGAUGCCCUCUUCCCCCCUCCCUUUCCCCCUCUGAUAAUGGGCCAGAUAGGAUGGGCCUUAUUAGGAAAAAUGCAAGGCUCGAUCCUUUUCGUCCGCUUUACGAGCGGAAACCCGGCCAUAUUUCUCCGUGAAAUUUAACGAACCUCGGCCGCGAUGGGACACCAUUAAAAAAUUCCUGGGCCGUCAUGUGGCGUGGUGGUGCGCAACCGGCCGAUAAACGGCAGCGUAAACGCGAGGAAUGAUGAUAUUACGAGACGUUUCGCGCGGAAAUAUCCCGUGCAGAAGUCGGGAUCGGCGAGAAAAACACUGAUUUAUCGGAGGCGGGCUUAAUUGCGCGCGAAGCCGAUUUACGAGCCGUGUUACCAACGUUCGAUGGAACGUUGGUCCCAGACUACGAGAGUUUCUAUUGCAAGAGAUUCUAUCUUGCUGAAUUUUCAUCGAGGAAUUUCUGGUGAUUUUUGUUCUUGUUUCUUCUUUUUAAGUUUUCGGUCAAUUAUUAUUGGGGAGACAUUCAACCGUCUCGAUUCCGUUUUCAAGCCGUUCGUUUAAAGGUUUUGGAGAGGAUUGUAGAAUCGUGACCGUUUUAAAUCCCUCAAAGAAACGUUGAAGAUGAAUAUCGACCGGAGAAGAUAAAAUAAAAUAAAAUGUGAUAUCGUUUCUUUUAAAGUAUCGAUGAAAAAUUAACGUUUUGGCCAUCUCUUCGGGCACGUACGGACGGACGUUUCAAUUAUUUAAGCUGACAACGAGCGCACUCGGCCGAAAGAGUUUGGAAACUCGAAAGUGCAUUUCGUGCACGUAACAAACUUAAAUAGACGGAUCGUGUGCACGGGUUGGACUGCGACUAUUAUCAGAUCAAUAAUUGGCGAAGGAGGGCCGAACUUGCCGAACUUCGAGCCCCGUUUCGGGUUAAUUCCCGUCUAUCAAGCCUCGUGUCUGUCACUCGUGGCUUGUUCGAGGGGGGGAAACAACGAGUCUCAUCGCUUGUCACGGGAGAAAUGUAGUUGCCGUGCAACUGAAACUGCGUCAAAAAAUAUCAAGGAUCGAGAAGAUAAUUUGAAAUCGAGGUAGACGAAGCUGUGAUCGAGAUUAACAAAAAAAAAAAAAUAUAUCAAAGAUUCAAACUCGAACGAAAGACAUUGGAACCAGAAUUAGGAACAAUCUCCUCUUACGUUGAACAUUUCACAUCAUUCUCGAAAAUAUCGAGCUAUUAGAAAAUCUUUUUAUAUAUAAAUACUCUUAGAUAUUUCAUUACGCCAUAUCUUCUAAAGAAAAAAAAAAAGAAAAAGAAAAAGGAAACUAGUAUUUCAAAUUUGAAAACUACCAAUCAAACUCCACUGAAUUUUAAAUACCACAAACACUAUCAUUAUACUUGCAUUUACUCUCCCUCAGAUCCAAAGAAACGGUGCUUAUUUCGAGCGCACCCAAUGUUUUACAAACAAAAUUAUGACUUCAAGUCCAAGACCAAUUACCUUUAAAAAGAAGAAAGAAAGAAACUAAGAAAGAAAGAAAGAAAAAGAAAAAAAUUCAUCGAGAAACUAAAUUACAGUCCACCAUUUGAACCAUCUCCUCAAGUUUCUUCCUUCCUUCCUUCCUUCCUUCCUUUCUUCUUUUUCUUUUUUUUUUCGACUCAACCGAGAACAACAAAAACUUUAAACGUACGCAUCGAACUAACAUGAAAGUAUAAUCCUUGCCUCGAAGAAGAAGGUAUUACACGUGCAACAAGCGAGGCGGCGGUGUGUCUACACGGCAGGAAAAAGCGACCCCCCGCGCGUUAAAAGGGUUCGAAAGAAACGGCAUCACGUAUUUCUACGAUCGUGCCGUGGCAACAGGAGUAGCAAAAUCGACGACGUUUCGCGCAUAAUUAAGCAGUUGUUGGCCGUAGUAUUUUAGGGCCGAGGUGACGUCUCUAUCCCGUGCGGCUCGCUCAUAUCGCGGGUGUUUACUCGGAUUUACAUCGCGCAUACAUAUGUAUGGAAGAAACUACGAUUUGUAUCGUCACGUUGGCCAAUUAAGGGGCCGGGGUCGUUAACGAAGAGAAUAAUUAGAAAGCACAUUGGCAAGCCGGCCGGUGUGGACGACCUGGUGUGCACGUACUCUUUUUUCUUUUUUCUUUAUGCUUUAUACAGCAGGAUACACCGCUGUGAUAUGGCCACGAGAGAAAGGGGAAAAAAGAAAAUGAAAAAUAAAAAAAUAGAGAAGGAAACGAAAAAGAUUCGCGCCACGUUCCAUAAACGCGGGGAAUUAAUAUGUUUUAGCCGGGCAUAUUUGCAUUCGGAAUGCCUGCAUAUGAAAUGGGGAUGUUCGGCCUCGAGGCGGGCCCGGAAUAACCGAGAAACGGGCAAUUAAAAGGGGGUAAUUGGGUAGAUUCCUUUUCGCGCGACCACCCAGGCCACGCGUGUGUAUUAUUGUCGUUUGAGAUUGAAAUAAUAUUGUCUAGGAAUUUGUACUUGUUUCUCUGUUGUUUCUUGAAAUAUUCAGAUUCGCUCGAACGUUAUUGAAAAUUGGUAAAAAAAAAAUGUAAGACUCGAAGGCCAUUUUGUCCGAUAGUUUGUCCAAAAAGGGAUCGGUUUAAUAUCGCGUAAUUUUUCUCGUUGCGAAAUAUUCACUGAAAUUGCAUCAAAGGAUCCAAUUAAAUGGAUUUAUCAUCGAAAUAUUAUCAGGGAAUAAAAGUCAGCGAGGAUGUAGAAAGAAGAAGGAAAUUAGCAUUACAGUUCCCUUGCUCCUUUGCAGAUUUUAAUUCUGAUUGAUACUCGCUUAAUUACUACCUUCAAGGAUUAAUUACGGACCAGUUAGCACGAGUAUCCAGUUAGUUCGAGUCUGAUCAGAAUUUAAUUUAUCCAACAUUUUAUCGCCCCAAUGUUGUACCCAUCUUGCGGCAUAUAACAUGUUGCUGCUUCCUUCCGUUAUCACCUCUAUCCAUCUUCUAUGCCGAUCCUAAUUUUACUUUAUAACAUCCAAGGAAUUUAUUAAGUAUUCAAAGAUUCACCCUUCGAAAUGCAAUUAACAACGAAGGAUAGCGGAAACAAAGAGGG
rnacentral:lncRNA from 1 species